rnacentral:rRNA from 1 species
AUUGAACGCUGGCGGCAGGCUUAACACAUGCAAGUCGAGCGGAGCGAGGGUGCUUGCACCUUAGCUUAGCGGCGGACGGGUGAGUAAUGCUUAGGAAUCUGCCUAUUAGUGGGGGACAACAUUCCGAAAGGAAUGCUAAUACCGCAUACGCCCUACGGGGGAAAGCAGGGGAUCUUCGGACCUUGCGCUAAUAGAUGAGCCUAAGUCGGAUUAGCUAGUUGGUGGGGUAAAGGCCUACCAAGGCGACGAUCUGUAGCGGGUCUGAGAGGAUGAUCAGCCACACUGGGACGGAGACACGGCCCAGACUCCUACGGGAGGCAGCAGUGGGGAAUAUUGGACAAUGGGCGGAAGCCUGAUCCAGCCAUGGCGCGUGUGUGAAGAAGGCCUUUUGGUUGUAAAGCACUUUAAGCGAGGAGGAGGCUCUUAAGGUUAAUACCCUUGAUGAGUGGACGUUACUCGCAGAAUAAGCACCGGCUAACUCUGUGCCAGCAGCCGCCGUAAUAC